rnacentral:lncRNA from 1 species
CAGGGAAGUAAGCAGAGCUCACUGUGCAUCCCAGACUCUUGUGAACACCGGGACACAGUGGACCCUAGUUUCCUCACUGUGUUCGGGAACAGAAGCUCAGGAGAGGAAAUGCAGAGAGAAGACAACCAAGUCCAAAGUGUGAGAAACGACCAAGAAGCCAAUAGGAGGAGGAGGCUGAGGCAGGAAGGCCAAAGUUCCUCAGGUCCUUGUGAUAGCCCGUGGACUGAGUCUGAAAUCAAGAUCUUGCUGGAAGAGUGGGCAGUGGUUGAAUAUGAACUCAGAGACACAGGAAAUAGGAUGGAUGAGAAGGC